rnacentral:lncRNA from 1 species
GCUUUAAUAAAGAAAACAAUUUAUAACAAAGAUCAAUACAUAAUUCUACACAAAUCCAAUCUGAUUAAAAUACAGAUUCUGUGUCCACACUUGCAGGAUUUGACAUCACUGGGUUGUACAGUGAAACCUGAAUAAACCGGAAACCUGUCUAAUCCAAACUUCUUCUGAAGAUCAAUCAUAUCACAUUUUAUGCAUUGUGAACCUGAUGAAACCGAAUACCUGCCAAAACCGAACAAAAUCUCAAGUCCCGAAAGGGUUCGGUUUAGUCAGGUUUCACUGUACUCUGUUUUAAAGACUUUUUGGGUCCUCUGGUUUUGUAGUGAUGACACACACCUUAAAAGUUUUGAAGGCUGUUUCAUUAGCUGAUGUAUUAAUUUAUACCAAUACGGUGUGUUGUCAGAUCCUUGUAACCGUAGUGUGGACGCAGGAUUGGUAUUUAAAUCUGAUUGACACAAAUCAAUCUCGAUAUUGCAUCAUCCCAAUUGUUCACUAUACUGUACAAGAUAUUUUUAGCAGUAUAUUUGAUAAGGGCUAUUCCAUUAAACAUGUAUGUGGGAGGAUAGGAAGGGAAGUUCAAAAUAUUAAAUGUGGGUCAUGUGUCUUUUUUCAGUUGAGGCCUAUUACAAUUUAUAGAAUAAUCUAAACAAUGGUUCUUGGUUGAAGGGAUAUUUUAAAAAGUUCCUUCCUUCCCUCCCACAUUCAUUUUAAUGGAAUAGCCCUAAAGGUGUAUAAUACAUUUGAGCUAAUUAAAAUUUAACAAUUCUUUAAAUAUGGGGUAUAUGCAUGUAGCUUCAAGUUCAUCCAAACACUGACUUGAGUUUGGAAAUGAACACUAUACUGUUAAUAAAGAAAAUCAUUACAAUGUUGUUUUUUAAAGGCAAAGUUGGUCAGUUUCAGCUUUGCAAUAAUAAAAACUUGUAUUCAUAAUUUCAGCAGUGUUUUUCCUUCACAAAAUAUUUUUGAGAUUUUUUUUACAUGAUUUAUAAGAUGUCGUUUUCAACAGUGAUCAGUGAUUGACAAUAAAAACUCACAUUAAUUUCUAAAUUUACAGUAUUUUAUAACUGAAUUCUUGUCAAAGUUGAUUGGACUUCAAAAAUUACAUUGACCAAAAUCUUUAACCUGAAGCAGGACAGACAGAUGAACGGAAGAACAAAAGGACACAGACCGGAAACAUAAUGCCCCAUGGUGGGGUAUAAUUUUUUUUUUACAUUACUACUGAGGAUUCAUUAUUAUUCGUUCGAAACCAAUUUUCCUUGGUUUCAUGGGUACUGGUGAACAACGAAUUCAAAUGUUUAACAAAUAUCAUAUUUUCAAAAGGCUUUGUAAACAGAGAUUGGCAAAAAUACAAAAUCAAAUAUCCAUGAAUGUGCAAGUUUUCAGCAAUCUACGAAAAUUGAUACAAACGAAAAUAAAUGAAUCCACAGUAUAAUAUACUAGGUCAGUUUGGUCUCACUUAUAUAUAUUUACAAAUACCUGUAUGUUUUUACCGUAUUUCACAACCUUGAUGUAAUAUUUAACUUGAUAAAACUUAACAUUUAAUUGCAAAGUCAGAAAAUGACAUAUGAAUUCUACUGACCAAGUUUUAUACAAAUACAUUGUUUGUCAAUG